AGAUAUCGUCGUAUCACGAGGAUCGUUGAAAGCAAUGUCUCUUCUCUUUGCCCCCGAAACAAUUGUCGAUCGAACGUCCAUUUUCUUGGCGUAUCGAUCGAUUAACGGGGUCUCGUUUCGCGACAAAAUUGCGGCACACUUGGUCGAGGAGCCGCCGUUUUUCCGCUGUACACGGAUCCGUGUCAAUGUGGGCGAGAUAGGGAAAUACUCGAGGCCAGUUUCGUCUGUGGAUAAAAGUUUCGAUUGGUGUUCUUUGCUUUGUCGUCUCUGUUUUGUUGCUGCGUGCCGUCCCCUUGCGUGAACCCUCUCACCACAGGAAGAAUUAUUAUCGAAGAAAGGGGAGCAAGUUUUCUUUCAAGCUUGUUUUAUUGAGUUUUGCUUUUUUUUUUUUUUUUAUUCAUUAUUUUGUUCGGUUAUUUCAAUCCAGCGCAGAGCAGUGAACAUCGAAAGAGAGUCUUCUUGGAUUGCGUGUGAUAUAUAUACUUGUGCAUCGUAUUAAGGGGAUUAAGUCGAACACCAAUAUCGAUAGAUACCGAAGUGAGGCGGUGCGGUGAAUGACUUAAAGAGCUACGAAGGAUAAUCGUGAGAGAGAGAGAGAGAGAGAGAGAGAGAAGAAUGUGAAAGAGAAAAAAAUAUUCAAGCCGCCGUCCGAACAGAGGUACAAUCGUUGGAAAGAAUUAACAAUAACAGAAAUUUUAACCUUCUUUUACAAAAAAAAA